CACUGCCCCGCAGCCGCGCGCUCUCUGCAGUGACGGCAACCGCAACCGCAGCAGCACCUAGUUCCAGCCUCACCAGCCUGGCCCGAGCCGCAGCUGGCGGUACCCGGGCAAUUCAGGCUGAAGUCGACGAGCAGAAGGCGUGCUGGUGCUCCAAGCCCCCCAUGGCAUUGGCCGAAGCGCAAGAAACCGCAAGUGGGCUAGCCACGGUGUUGCACCGUGGGGACCGAGAAGAAGGGGACAGGAGAACAUGAAGCGAUGCAGGCAGGUGUAGGAUUGAGCCCCUGAGUCCGCCCAAAGGACUUUGGCAGGGCCUGGGUGGCCAGGGUGGCUUCAAGGGGUCCGAGGGCUCUGACUGCUGCUGUUGCGGCGCGUGUGGGUGCGACGAAAGCGCCCCCUUCUCCCAAGACCUAAACGGAUAAACGGAAGCGCUUGUAAGUGUGGGGGGUGCGAAUCGCCACCUCCGGCCUGGCUUUCCCGCUCUUGAGAGCACCCCCACUUCUCACUUUCCCCAAAUCCGCAUUUUCCUUGGCACAGCCCUCGCGAACACCGAGGAGAGGGAGGUGCCCGGGGGCAGUGAGAGUGACGUGUGCUGGUGCAGAGGGGGUGGGGGGCUGCGGGCCGGGCUCUGUGGACCGACUCCUAAUCCUCUUGUUUUCGGAACCGUCAGCAGAUGUGGCUUCUCUUAGCUGAAUAAUCCGUUAAAGGAAUAAUAAUUUUUUUUAAAGGACCUCGGCCUCACCCAACGAGGACAGUGAAGGAGAUCAGCGCUUGUAGCUCUGCCUUUGGUUUGGACUGGCUGAAACAUUGCAGACUGCAACCAAUGUCUUUUAAAGGCGAACAAAAAGAUGAAGAUCUUGUGUGGACUCCCGGACAAAGCGUCUUGGGCUUGGCGACGAGGGACGCGCGGAACUCUUGCUCCCGCACUGGAGAAAUCAACACUGCCCAAAAGCACCCCGCGGGAGCUGCAGACCUCUGAGGCGAAAGGACCGCUGCAGGAGAGUUCCGGAAGGCUGAUUCCCACAGAUCCUGGACAAGGGCCGCUGCAGCUCAGCCCUGCGGCACGCCCGGCCAGGCUGCCCCAGGACUCUUAACACUCAAGGUAAAAACCCGCAGCCACACGCCCUGCCUAGGCAGCGGUUGCCGAGCCAUUGCUUGCCAUCCCUUUCCUCAACGUCUUCUCCCUCCCUUUGGCCCCCCUCAGUUUCCUAGGCGAAGCUGAAAGCGAAUUGGGUGGGUAUGACUCGCGGCGGUGGGGCGAGGUGGGGUUGAUGUUUUUUCAUUGUCUGGAACUGCAGGGGAGACGAAGCGAGCGGAAAGGAGUGAGGGAGUCGGGGUAAUUAACACGGGGGGGAGGCACCCCUCCGUCUCCCACUUCCACCCACACCCCGAACCCUCCACCCCCUCCCCCUUUGCAGGGAAAAGCCUGGAAACGAAAGGAUGCGGGAGAACAAAGAGCCUUCGGAGGACGUGGCUGUUAUCUCAUUGUCUGCGACUGAGGGAGCUGCGGUAGGAAGGAUGCGGUGGUCCUUAGCUCAUCGCGUUCCCUAACCCCACACCCUCCCUGCUGUCAGUGCUCACGCACACCACGCGUCGCCAGCUUUUUCUUUCUCAUUCCUCGUUUUUUCAUUCCAUCUUUUUCCCAUUCCCUGUCUUUCUUUCACCUUCCCUUCCUUCUUUCCUCCCUUCCUCUUCCCCCUCCCCUCUUGCCCUCCUCCCUCCCUCCCUCCUUCCUUCCUUCCUUCCUUCCUUCCUUCCUUCCUUCCUCAGGAGAAAGGCCUCUCUCUCCGUGUUCACAGCGGACCUUGAUUUAAAUGUCCAUACAAUUAAGGCACGCGGUGAAUGCCAAGAAUGGGGCUGUCUGAGCACCUUGGGUCCGCGAAGGCCCGCCACGGAAGGAUCGACCCAGCCCAACGCCCUGGGCAGAUUUCUGCGCUGCAGCUGCACGCGCCACAGGAGGGGUGGCAGGCUUCUGGGUGCCUCGCAUUGCAGCCUUUGGGUGCGGG